CCUUGCCUACGGGAGGCAGCAGUGGGGAAUAUUGCACAAUGGGGGAAACCCUGAUGCAGCGACGCCGCGUGAGUGAAGAAGUAUUUCGGUAUGUAAAGCUCUGUCAGCAGGGAAGAAAAUGACGGUACCUGACCAAGAAGCCCCGGCUAACUACGUGCCAGCAGCCGCGGUAAUACGUAGGGGGCAAGCGUUAUCCGGAUUUACUGGGUGUAAAGGGAGCGUAGACGGCGAUGCAAGUCUGAAGUGAAAGGCGGGGGCCCAACCCCCGGACUGCUUUGGAAACUGUAUGGCUGGAGUGCAG
rnacentral:rRNA from 1 species